rnacentral:lncRNA from 1 species
GUGAGAACUUUUAAGUCCCAAAAGAGAUACUUUAUCAAUGUAACCAUGAGAGAUGCACUCGAUUGAUGCCCUCUGCCUUAGUUUGAGAAUCUUUUCAAGUUUGGCGUUUACUUGGGAGGGGGGAUUUGUGGUGUGCUAAGCAUAAUUGCACAGUGUAUAAUUAAAGAUAAUAGGGGCAUUAAGACCCCACGUCUUGAUUUUUGAAGAGAAAGGAGAUUUCAUCAAACAGUGGCAUGCAAAUGUUUCGGGGUGCAAAGACCUGAUUGGUUGUCGCAGGCGGGUCUAGAGUACAAAUUUACUUUGUGAGAAAUUAUGUAGUUCAUUCUUUCCCACACAAGACCAUUGCUUCACUUGCUCCUGAUACUAAGACAAAGGAUCAAGAUGAUAUCUGUGGUGCUAUUGAUGUGCAUGCUGGGCUACUCCCUGGCUGCUCCAGCUCCUGAUAGUGGAAGCGAUGAGCAGGUUGCAGCACACGCCAACGAGGCCCUGAGGUGGAUGGAGCUCUACAGAAAGUAUGGUUCCCUCGGACAACAGGCAGCACCAGCUCAGCUCUCAAUGUUGAAUGACCCUGCUGCAGCCCCUGCUGCCCCACCUCAAGCCCCCAACUUCUACCCACUACCACCACCACCACCAAUGAACUCGGAUGAAGAGGCCCCAGCACCCCGCUAUGGCGGCUAUGGCAGCUACUAUCCCUACCCUGGCCAGGCUGCCCCUGCUGCCCCAGCCGUCCCUCUGAACUCUGACGAGGUUGGAGAGGACGCGGCUGCCGCUGAAGCCGAGGCUGAGCCAGCAGUGGACGUUGCAGCUGAGGAACCAGCAGUUGUGGACACCACCUCGCCUGUAGACCCAGCCGCUGCAGCUCCUGUCGACCCGGCCGUGGAGGUGCCUGUCAAUGUUGUUAUACCCGCUGCCGUCGACAUCCCCGCCACCAUUGACGCUGACGUCGUUGUUGUCGAUCCUGCUCUCAUAGCGCCAAACGACACCACCAUGGUGGCUGGGCCCUCAGACUCCGCCCUCCAUGUUAUGUAGGCGCCACGGCAACAGUCGCCAGCUUGCUCCUGUGUCGAGCCAGGAAGACAUUCCCUCCCGUAGUUAUAGUAACAAAAAGGUGGAAACAACAGUGAUGGAAAAGGGGCAGGGUAGGAGCAGAGAAGUCUAUGGUACGGCUACCUGAAUAGGGACAAAAUUAAUUUGGCGAAUAUGUGGGAUCUAUGUGAACCUCCAUGUAUAAAUGAGCCUGUACUGUCAUUGUGCAGUCACAAAAAAUAUGAUGAUUCAGUCUUUUCUCUUUGUGCUUUUCUCAUUCUAUAAAUAAAAAUGCCUGUUGAGAUACUGCACUUGAUGUUCUUUGUUAUCAGCAGAAAAAUUACAAUGUUUUAUGAUGUGAUACUUCACAUUACGUUGGAACAAGAGACAAAAUGUGUACCCCAUUUCAAUUGUCAAGCCACGUCCUCCUUAGAUAAUGUUACUAUCCAGGUCAAAAGUUUCCCGGGAAGCCUCAUCUCCCAUUCAACCAAUGGAAAAAACGAAGUUAUCUUAACAUCAGCAUUGCCGGGCCUCAGCACUUACUAGUAGCCGCCAAUGUGCACCUUCGGAAUGUCAUAAAAAAAAUGUACAGUCUAAUAAAUCAAUUUUAAUAUAAAUCCCAAAUAAAUCCAUUACUUCAUUCAGGCAGGUCUUAAAAAAAGAUUAUCAUACUAAAAUAAUGUAUUUCAAAAGAACAGAAUAGCAUAUUUUGAGUUUAAUGCAUGUAAAUAUGCUUAGUAGGCUAUGGCCUAUGGCUAUGUGCCUUGCCAAUAAAUCAACUACUUAAUUUGUUCAUUUAGCAGACAAGACACACUUGUAUUACCCUGCCCUUAUCACAGUCAGCAUACAGUAGGUCUACAUAUGUUUUAUAGUGAGAAUAUAAUAUGAAUAUAACAGAAUAGUAUAGAAAGGAUAUUUUUCCCAAACAAGAUUUGUUUGGCAAAUGUUGUUUGGCAAAUGUAGGUGUUAGAAACUUUAGAUUCUGCUCAUUCCGAUGCUCUAUAGAAAUCAAAACAUCUGGACUGCAUGCAUUUGAAAAGAUAGUUUGGCCUGGACGUUGAACUUGAGCUUGGUUAACGACACUGCGAUUGGCUCAGCCAGUCAAUUAAAUGCUAGUCAAUUAAAUGCACCAAAUUCUCGGGCGGAGUUUGACAAUGGGUCAAUUAGCACAUAAAGGUUAUCGCUACCUUACUUAAAGUGAUAGUUCACAGAAAAUGCAAGGCAAGGCAACACGAUAAGACAACAAAAAUCGAUUGUUUAGCUUAAAAAGGCUACUUUAAGAUGAUUUGGACUAAAUAUGCUAAUGUCGGGGAUAUUGACUUGUAUUGGUUUUUGGACAAAAAUGCAAAUAUCUUAGCAUUUGCAGACAGUGGCCAGAUAAACGCAAACAAACUAAGUUUGUCUACUUUGCCAAUGAAGUAAUCAUUAAAAUAAUCUGAAUCUGUCUUUCUGCCCUUCAUUUCCUUAAGC